UACGGAGGGUGCAAGCGUUGUUCGGAUUUACUGGGCGUAAAGCGCGCGCAGGCGGGUGGACAAGUCGGAAGUGAAAUCCCAGGGCUCAACCCUGGGGCUGCUCCCGAAACUGUUCGCCUAGGGACUGGUAGAGGCUGGUAGAAUUCCCGGUGUAGCGGUGGAAUGCGUAGAGAUCGGGAAGAAUACCUGUGGCGAAGGCGGCCAGCUGGGCCAGGUCCGACGCUGAGGCGCGAAAGCGUGGGGAGCAAACAGG
rnacentral:rRNA from 1 species